rnacentral:rRNA from 1 species
AAAGCCCCUCGCUUACACCGAAGAGACAUCUGCUCGUACCAGAUUAUUUUGAGCCUAAAAUUCAGCCUACUAUCAACCUCAUGUAAAUUACACUUAUAUCCCCCCUCCAAUAAAACAUUUUUUCAGUCCAGUAGAGGCGAUCAAAAAACUUAUUAGCGCUUUAUUAUUAGUACCGCAAGGGAAAAAUGAAAUAGCUUUGAAACAGCCUUAAAGCCAAACACAGCAAAGAUUACCCCUUGUACCUUUUGCAUCAUGGUUUAGCUAGUCUUUAUCAAGCAAGAAGAAACAUCAGUUUGAUCCCCCGAAACCAGACGAGCUACUUUAAAACAGCUUUAUAGAGCCAACCCAUCUCUGUUGCAAAAGAGUGGGAUGAUUUUUAAGUAGAGGUGAAAAGCCUACCGAGCCUGGAGAUAGCUGGUUACUUAGAAAAAGAAUUUUAGUUCAGCCUCAACUCUCUCAAUUAAUUCAACAAACACCUUAGACUUGAGAGCUAAUCAAAUAAGGCACAGCUUAUUUGAUAACGGAUACAGCCUAUAAAAAAGGGUAAAAAAUACUACAUACAGGUUAAGUGGGCCUAAAAGCAGCCACCUUUAAGAAAGCGUUAAAGCUCCACCUUCUCCAAUACAUAAUACCUAAACUCACUUUAAACCCUUUUCUACUACUAAGUAAUUUUAUAAUUUUAUAAAAACUCUUAUGCUAAAACUAGUAACAAGAAAUUGAAUUUCUCCCAAUACAAACAUAAACCAAAAUGGACAGACCAUUGGUAAUUAACGUUAAUGAACUAACUAUAAUAACAAACUCAAGAAAACACUAUAACCACACACGUUAACCUUACACAAGUGUAUUUCAGGAAAGAUAAACAGAAAGGGAAGGAACUCGGCAAACUUUAGCCCCGCCUGUUUACCAAAAACAUCGCCUCUUGACUAACAUAAGAGGUCCAGCCUGCCCAGUGAAACUUAAACGGCCGCGGUACCCUGACCGUGCAAAGGUAGCAUAAUCAUUUGUUCUUUAAAUAAGGACCUGUAUCAAUGGCAUCACGAGGGCUAUACUGUCUCCCCUAUCUAAUCAGUGAAACUGACUUCCCCGUGAAGAGGCGGGGAUAAAAAUACAAGACGAGAAGACCCCAUGGAGCUUUAGACCCAAUAAUAACCUUUAUCUACUUGUUUCCACAAAAAUAUAAAUGUAUUAUAUAUUGGUUUUAGGUUGGGGUGACCGCGGAGUAAAAUUUAACCUCCUUGACGAAUAGAUAACAAUCCUAAUCUAAGAGCCACUACUCUAAGAAUCAAAAAUUUGACAUAACAUGAUCCGAUAGUCGAUCAACGAACCAAGUUACCCUGGGGAUAACAGCGCAAUCCAUUUCAAGGAGUUCCUAUCGACAAAAUGGGUUU